GGGGAAUAGGGUUUCAUAUGAACAGGGACGAUGCUUAUUUAUAAUAGCGUCGAAAAUAUAUUUAAUUUCACGGCGCUUUACUGUGAAAGUGUCGUAAAUGUUAAAUAUCUUCGGCGGUUAUAAGGCGCUGUAAAUUUGUUGAUAUCAAAACGACAUCGUUUUGAAUACAGAUGUAGGCAAAUCCCUAAGUUGACAUCAAAACGUUGCACGAGUAAGCAGACACUUCACUGUACUCCUUCUUUCACCCCACCGCACUCCGUCUUCCACCCCACCGCGCUCCUUGUUCCACCACACGCAUUACGUCGACACAAGCACACACUUCACUGGACGAUUCUGGUACUUCAUAAGAUUUGUAAGUGCGGUGAACUUUUGGAUUUGACGGCUCUUCCGUGAAGCCUAUCAUUGCUAGAUUGGAAAAUGGCCACAUUGGACAAAAGUUGGAUGAAUAUUGGCAAUCGUCUAAACCCUGAUUAUAUUAGGGGAGUCGAGGAAUUCCUUGACUUUGCUUUUCAACACCCAAGAGUAGGAGAUCUCAUAUAUUGUCCAUGUAAAAAGUGCUUCAAUGGACAUCUUAAGACUAGAGAGAAUGUCAAGGAAGAUUUGAUCAUAAGGGGCAUAAUUUAUAGUUACACUUUUUGGAACUUCCAUGGCGAAGAAUGACCUGCUACUAUGGAAGUUCAGGAUGAUGAGAUUGGGCUUGAGGUGGAAUGUGAUGAAAUAGAUGAGUUAAUAGUAGAUACCUUACCAAGUCUUAAUCCGGAGAUUUUUGCAGACCAUGAAUAUGAUGCGGAUAAUGCUAGUAAUAAUGUGUCGUAAAAUGAGGCUAAAAGAAUUUACAGGGUUCUUGAAAAGAAGCUGAAAUGGCAAGAAAAGAACUAGAAGACUAUAAGAAGAUGCCAGAUGAGAGAGCAAGAAAAACGGAGGAAGAUGUGGCCAGGCUUACGCAGGCUUUGCUGAGAUUUACAGAAAGGGGCAAUGGUGACAACCUUUAACAUGAUCUGGCUUCACUUUCUUGUACUGCAUAUGUGACAUUUAGAGAUGCUUAUGCGCUACAAAUUGGUAUCUUGCUCAGUGGAAAGGGUGUUGCUAUUGUUGUGCACUGAGUUUGGCAAGACAAUGAAGGUUUUGAUUGCUCCUGUGCUAAAUUUGUUAUUAAUGGAACCUUUUUGUUUUGUCUUUAGAUUAGUUGGAUUGAGUACAAGCCAUGUACUUUCUAUGUAUAUUUUGGUGCGGAUAGUGGAAGUGUUUGAUUAUGUGAAACUAUGAUAAUUAUUUUCUAUGUCAUGAAUGGAAAUAUGGUAGCCUUAGUU